UGCGAAUGGCUCAUUAAAUCAGUUAUCGUUUAUUUGAUAGUACCUUGCUACAUGGAUACCUGUGGUAAUUCUAGAGCUAAUACAUGCUAAAAACCUCGACUUCGGAAGGGGUGUAUUUAUUAGAUAAAAAACCAAUGCCCUUCGGGGCUCCUUGGUGAAUCAUAAUAACUUAACGAAUCGCAUGGCCUUGCGCCGGCGAUGGUUCAUUCAAAUUUCUGCCCUAUCAACUUUCGAUGGUAGGAUAGUGGCCUACCAUGGUAGCAACGGGUAACGGGGAAUUAGGGUUCUAUUCCGGAGAGGGAGCCUGAGAAACGGCUACCACAUCCAAGGAAGGCAGCAGGCGCGCAAAUUACCCAAUCCCGAUACGGGGAGGUAGUGACAAUAAAUACUGAUACAGGGCUCUUUUGGGUCUUGUAAUUGGAAUGAGUACAAUUUAAAUCCCUUAACGAGGAACAAUUGGAGGGCAAGUCUGGUGCCAGCAGCCGCGGUAAUUCCAGCUCCAAUAGCGUAUAUUAAAGUUGUUGCAGUUAAAAAGCUCGUAGUUGAACCUUGGGCCUGGCUGGCCGGUCCGCCUCACCGCGUGUACUGGUCCGGCCGGGCCUUUCCUUCUGGGGAGCCGCAUGCCCUUCACUGGGCGUGUCGGGGAACCAGGACUUUUACUGUGAAAAAAUUAGAGUGUUCAAAGCAGGCCUUUGCUCGAAUACAUUAGCAUGGAAUAAUAGAAUAGGACGUGCGGUUCUAUUUUGUUGGUUUCUAGGGCCGCCGUAAUGAUUAAUAGGGAUAGUCGGGGGCAUUAGUAUUCAAUUGUCAGAGGUGAAAUUCUUGGAUUUAUUGAAGACUAACUACUGCGAAAGCAUCUGCCAAGGAUGUUUUCAUUAAUCAGGAACGAAAGUUAGGGGAUCGAAGACGAUCAGAUACCGUCGUAGUCUUAACCAUAAACUAUGCCGACUAGGGAUCGGUGGGUGUUACUAUUAUGACCCCAUCGGCACCUUACGAGAAAUCAAAGUUU
rnacentral:rRNA from 1 species